rnacentral:rRNA from 1 species
UUACCCAAUCCCGAUUCGGGGAGGUAGUGACAAUAAAUAACAAUACAGGGCCAACGGUCUUGUUAUUGGAAUGAGAACAAUUUAAAUAACUUAACGAGGAUCAAUUAGAGGGCAAGUCUGGUGCCAGCAGCCGCGGUAAUUCCAGCUCUAAUAGCGUAUAUUAAAGUUGUUGCAGUUAAAAAGCUCGUAGUCGGAUGUCGGGCUCGGGCAAGCUGUCGGCCUCUGGUCGGACGGCAGGCUCGGGUCUUUCUGCCUGAGGAACCCGGUUGCUUUCGGGCUGCCGGUGGACGCAGGUCGUUUACUUUGAAAAAAUUAGAGUGUUCAAAGCAGGCUAGCGCUUGAAUACAUUAGCAUGGAAUAAUGGAAUAGGACUUUGGUGCUAUUUUGUUGGUUUAUGGGACCGAAGUAAUGAUUAACAGGGACAGUUGGGGCCGUUUAUAUUUCGUUGUCAGAGGUGAAAUUCUUGGAUUUACGAAAGAUAAACUUCUGCGAAAGCAUUCGGCAAGGAUGUUUUCAUUGAUCAAGAACGAAAGUUAGGGGAUCGAAGACGAUCAGAUACCGUCGUAGUCUUAACCAUAAACUAUGCCGACUAGGGAUCAGUGGAUGUCAAUUUGCGACUCCAUUGGCACCUUGUGAGAAAUCAAAGUUUUUGGGUUCCGGGGGGAGUAUGGUCGCAAGGCUGAAACUUAAAGGAAUUGACGGAAGGGCACCACCAGGAGUGGAGCCUGCGGCUUAAUUUGACUCAACACGGGGAAACUUACCAGGUCCAGACAUAGUAAGGAUUGACAGAUUGAAAGCUCUUUCUUGAUUCUAUGGGUGGUGGUGCAUGG